UUAGGAAUUUUGCGCAAUGGGGGAAACCCUGACGCAGCAACGCCGCGUGAGUGAUGAAGGCCUUCGGGUUGUAAAGCUCUUUUAGCUGGAAAGAAAAAAAUGACGGUACCAGCAGAAAAAGCACCGGCUAACUCCGUGCCAGCAGCCGCGGUAAUACGGAGGGUGCAAGCGUUACUCGGAAUUAUUGGGCGUAAAGCGCGUGUAGGCGGUUUAGUAAGUCUGAUGUGAAAUCCCUGGACUCAAUUCAGGAAGUGCAUUGGAUACUGCUAGACUAGAGUUUUGGAGAGGUGAACGGAAUUCCUGGUGUAGAGGUGAAAUUCGUAGAUAUCAGGAGGAACAACAGAGGCGAAGGCGGUUCACUGGACAAUAACUGACGCUCAGACGCGAAAGCGUGGGUAGC
rnacentral:rRNA from 1 species